GUUUGAUUAAGUUUGGAGCUAAACUCUGCAGGACAGCAGCUCUUUAGGACCGAACUUGCCUACCCCUGGGUUAUGGGAAAUGUAGUUCAUGAAGCGGUAAAGGAGACUGAAGCAGACAGUGAUGGUAGCCAUUGACUUGCGUUAUAUGAAUAACCAAGGACUACGGUUUCAGCAAAAAAAUCUUCUUUAUUGUUCUACUGAAGAAAAAAAGACACAUCUUGGAUGACCUGAGGUAAACUCUUCCCAGUUGUCACACCUGCCAGCUGGAGUGCCUAUGAUAGCCACCAGAGGACACUCCUUCACCGCUCCAUUAACUUUACCACUUGAUGAACUUUGCCCACUGCCUGGACUCAUUGUGGUCUCAUUACUUCCUCCUGUGUGUGAUUAACUCAUUUGUGUUUACCUUUAUAAGCUCUGUGUUUCACUUACUCCUUGCGAAGUCUUGUAUGUGUUACACUGCAUUUCUGAGAGUUAUUUCUGGUUUUCCAUGUCAUGGUUUUGAUGAUCUGCUUGUCUCCCUGGUUUAUCUGCUUAUUUCCCUGUUUGAUUGUGUCUUGGUCUCUGUUAUUAUCUGGAUUGUUUGGCCUGUGGUUUUGACCCUAUGUCUGUUAUAUGAAUUACAACUGUGGAUUACCCCUAAUAAAGCUGCGUUUGAAUCUUCAA